CUCUGUAGAAGAUGGCAGCGCUGAGCA
rnacentral:piRNA from 1 species